AUUGAACGCUGGCGGCAGGCCUAACACAUGCAAGUCGAGCGAGCGGCGGACGGGUGUGUAAUGUCUCGGAAUCUGCCUCUUAGUGUGGGAUAACUUCCGGAAACGGGCGCUAAUACCCCAUACUCUCACAUUCACCCAUCUCGGCUUAGCUAGUCGGUAGGGUACAGGCCUACCAAGGCGACGAUCCCUAGCUGGUCUGAGAGUGUGACCAGCCACACUGGAACUGAGACACGGUCCAGACUACGACGGGAGGCAGCAGGGGGGAAUAUUGCACAAUGGGCGCAAGCCUGAUGCAGCCAUGCCGCGUGUAUGAAGAAGGCCUUAGGGUUGUAAAGUAAUUUCAGGGGGGAGGCGUUACCCGCAGAAGAAGCACCGGCUAACUCCGUGCCAGCAGCCGCGGUAAUAC
rnacentral:rRNA from 1 species